GACCUCUGUGGGCUACUUCUGGGGAGUGGCUAGUGUUCUAUCAAGACAAAGGAAGACCAAGGAGACACCCACUCCAUUUCCAGCCUUGCUCACUAGCUGGCAAGUGGAAGACACUCCGUCAAACCA
ensembl:snoRNA